UGGGGAAUAUUGCACAAUGGGGGGAACCCUGAUGCAGCCACGCCGCGUGAAUGAAGAAGGCCUUCGGGUUGUAAAGUUCUUUCGGUGACGAGGAAGGUUGGUAGGUUAAUAGCCUAUCAAAUUGACGUUAAUCACAGAAGAAGCACCGGCUAACUCCGUGCCAGCAGCCGCGGUAAUACGGGGGGUGCGAGCGUUAAUCGGAAUAACUGGGCGUAAAGGGCACGCAGGCGGUGACUUAAGUGAGAUGUGAAAGCCCCGAGCUUAACUUGGGAAUUGCAUUUCAUACUGGGUCGCUAGAGUACUUUAGGGAGGGGUAGAAUUCCACGUGUAGCGGUGAAAUGCGUAGAGAUGUGGAGGAAUACCGAAGGCGAAGGCAGCCCCUUGGGAAUGUACUGACGCUCAUGUGCGAAAGCGUGGGGAGCAAACAGGAUUAGAUACCCUGGUAGUCCACGCUGUAAACGAUGUCGAUUUGGGGAUUGGGCUUUGAGCUUGGUGCCCGUAGCUAACGUGAUAAAUCGACCGCCUGGGGAGUACGGCCGCAAGGUUA
rnacentral:rRNA from 1 species